CAGCGACAGCAGCGGCGGCAGGAGGUAAGAUGGGUCCCCUCGCUCGGCUUCUUCCCUCCAGCGGCUGAGGCCGAAGCGCGGGAAGGGGCGGCUGGAGGGGGGGGGGCUCGCCUGGCAGAGGCGUCCAUGGCGCCUCCGUCAGCUCCCCGCUUGCCUUUGCUUCCCUUCGCGGCUCGCUUCUCCCUUUUCUUCGCCACCACCGACCCCUACCUGUGUGCCCGCCCUUGCUGGAGCCCUCCGGGAGAGUGGGGGGGGGGGNNNNNNNNNNNNNCUGCUCUUUCCUUCCCACUAGGACGCGCGCCCCCCCCCUCGAGAAACCCGCCUGCCAGCCACCAGGAUCCGACCCGCUCCCCACCGGCGCAGACCUGGGUCUCUAGUGGUGUGUGGUUGCCAUUGAGAUGGCCCCUGGCGACAGAUCAGACUUGUCCUCCACCCUGCCUCCCAAACCAUCCUUCCCCCCCACUUUCAAGGGGGAGGGCAAGAGAGGUCUGGGUUGCUCCCUCUCCUUACUAUCUGCCUUCCUCUCCUCUCCUCCCUCGUCCCAGGCCUACCCUCUUCAGCCACAUAACCAUGGCAACUUGUCUGAGGUCACGGCCAGCUGCAGUUUGCUUAAGCUGGAGACCUAAAGAUAAGACAUUGGGGGGGGGGUGUUCGUUGAGAGACAACCUCCCCCCCUCACACACACACACCGCCACUGUCACCAUUUAUUAUGCCUUCCUCUCCCUAAUCCCUAGGAAGCAGCAGCAGGGCCUUUGGCCCAUCUCCACCAAGCUUCCUUUUUUAUAUAUAUCAGCCUCACAUUUUGCUUUGUUCCCUGUCUUUUCUGGGUCACCUUGUUCCCCCUCCUUUUCCUCUUCUUUCUGCCUCUUCCCCUCCAGUCACAAGCCCGUGAGUUUUAACUUGUUUCCCUUGUCCGACAGAACUUCCCAUCUGGAGAUACAACUAGUAAAAAGGGUUUUGUGAGCCCAAGUUGCCAAGGAGCUCAGGUGAAAGGAUUAAUACCUCCUGCGGUUCUUGCCUGUCUACCUACAGAUACAAAAUCCAAACCAGAAGACAUGGUUCUGGGAGACAGUGAACCUGAAGGCCUGGCUGAGAAGCGGAGGGUAUCCGUUUCCUACAGACACUGAAUUGCUCACUGGUGAGAAAGGCUGGUGGCAGAAACCAGGUUUGGUACCCUUUGAAGACGAAGAGGACCAAGGCUUGCCAACUCCAUAAUUACCAUUCAUUCCUCCCAUAAUUACCGUUCAUUUAUCCUUUAUGCAUCAAGGAAGACAAAGCUUAAUGGGUUGUUAAAGGGAGGUAAUAAUUUUUUGAGAGGAAGGAAGGAAGGAAGGAAGGAAGGAAGGAAGGAAGGAAGGAAGAAGACCUCCUCUCCUUUAUUUCAUUUUUCAUUGAAUAUGUUAUUUAUUUAAAACAUGCUUUUUCUGCCUCUUUGUGCACACAAGGUAAUGUAAAGAUUUGUCAGGGCCAAGUAUAACAAAAAUAACCAACACAAGAAUAUAGUCAAAAUGGCUGAGUUAUAAGGACCCCAAAAGUUGUCUAGUCUAACUUGAGAGAACUAUUAUCCUGAUGAGCUGUAAAUCACUAAGUUCAUAGGUUACCAAUUAAUCAAACAUGACAUGUACCAACCAAAGACCCUAGGCUUUGUUUAACAAGCUAGCAAGGAUCUGCAUAGGCUAUCAUCCUAAGAGGGGUGGUUCAGUCACAUCAAGCUGAUAGCUGUAAAGACCUUAAAUGAUCCUGCACUCGCUGUAAAUGUUAACCUUUCAUAAAAACAUAGCAGGAAUUUUUCAGUGACCUUGAAUUAUGGGGGGACUCACAGAGGACAGAGAUGUUUGUUUUGUUUCCAUGAAUUUUAUGUUUUCUGUAAAUACAUUUCAAAGUAAGAACUAGAAAACCCUCUAAAAGAAAGACAGAGAAAAGAAAAAAGGGAUGGAUCAAUGGAGAGGAAGUGAAGAAAACA
ensembl:lncRNA